rnacentral:lncRNA from 1 species
CCCUUACACAGGCAAUGAGUUGAUGUUUCUCGGAGGAAGGAGGCACUGCAAUUCCUUGUCCUGACAAAUACUUAAAAAUUAUUUCUCGAUAUACUUUUCUUCGUUUCAAAAGUUCUUCUGCACUUUGGCUGUAAACCAAGAUGGCCUGAAUGGCCUCUUGGCGGUUCUCCGGAUGUACCAGGCGGUUAGUGACGGUGUCCGUCAGCGCCAGCAGCUCCUCGGUCUCGAGCAACUCCAGUAUCUGGCGGCAGCCGGCUUGCUCCCUCUCGCUCAGCCCCAGCGACGCCAUCC